CCGUCCGUUCUAGACGCUUUGAAUUAUUACUUAGCUGAGAAAAUCUUUUUAAAAACAAAAAAAAAUUCACCGGGAACUUUUAAGGCAAAUUAACCAUGGUUAGUUUUUUACCCCUGUGUGGAGAGGGGGUUAAAUGUCUCUGAGUAAGUGCUGAUGAAGCAGAAAGAGAUAGGAACAAGAGACUAGAAAAGAAGAGCUUCCAUGCGAGAGACCUUCCUGAGUCGACUCGGAACGAGUUGGCUAUUCUCUCAUAAUCUCUCCUCUACUGUAUUCGGUUUUCGAGCUCCCUCCCUCCCUCCCUCUCCGUUGGUGUCAUUUUCGUUUGUUGCAGAUUGUUGUGUUAUCUGGAUUUUAACUAUGGAAGCUCGUCUUGUGGAUUUCGUUUGGUUUCAUUGGUCUUGGAUUUAAGCAACCUGUCUUAGGAGGAAGAAGAAAGGGACUGACUUUCGCAUUAGAGCGAGGCUGUGACUUCUCUGGUUUGAUCUCCACAAUUCAUGUCACGUAAACUCGACAACAGUCCUGUUCAGACACAAAAUGGCAGUUUCGCUUCUAAAGAGCAGCCCCUUGACCGGAGAUUUUAACAAGAUGGGGAUGUAGCCUAGGCGUGUUUUUGUCCAAACUGAGACUCGUUGUGUACUGGGGUUGGAGCUGGAUCACACGCAGCAGUGAUAACGCGCAUGGGACGUCCAGCUUCCCUGUUUCAGCUUUGCACCGUAUAGGGAUUCUUGAUAUUAGAAUCUUGAAGAAUACGGACAGACACUCAGGGAACCGGAACCUUCUGGUUAAGAAGCUGGAUGGUGUGGGGAUGUUUGGUCAAGUGGAGCUGAUUCCGAUCGAUCACGGUCUUUGCUUGCCGGAGAAUCUUGAGGAUCUUUACUUUGAGUGGAUUCAUUGGCCACAGGCGUCGAUCCCGUUCUCUGAAGAGGAGAUGAAGUACAUAGCAAGUCGAGACCCUUUUGAAGAUUGCGAGAUGUUGAGAAGGGAGCGGAGGCUAGUCUCCUUGUUUUAGUUCUCUGCACGAUUCUACUGAUUAUGGUUUAUGUUUGGCUGAAAUUGGUGAGAUGAUGACUAGAGAGGUUCGUGCUGGAGACGAGGAGCCUAGUGAGACAAAGCGCAAGGCCUUAACUUUAGGACAGGAUCUGAGGCAGAGGCUGGGAACUUCGUGUCAGUUUUGAAAUGUCAGAGAGACUGAAGGGCUUGUCUUAUAGACAGAACUGGUGGAGAAACUUGUUAAAACCCUCACGGAUCUUGUUGGUUCCUGCUGUCUCGUUUAAAGCAUGUAAACCCUCUUUAUGUUUUAUGAAUCACUUUGUAGAUUAGAGAAAAAAGGGAUGAAAAAAAGAAAGCUUAGUUUGGUAAACAUUGAAGUUAAUCGUCUUCGACGAGGAUCAUUUUCAUUUCA